GACGAACGCUGGCGGCGUGCCUAAUACAUGCAAGUAGAACGCACAGUUUAUACCGUAGCUUGCUACACCAUAAACUGUGAGUUGCGAACGGGUGAGUAACGCGUAGGUAACCUGCCUGGUAGCGGGGGAUAACUAUUGGAAACGAUAGCUAAUACCGCAUAAUAUUGAUUAUUGCAUGAUAAUUGAUUGAAAGAUGCUAUUGCAUCACUACCAGAUGGGCCUGCGUUGUAUUAGCUAGUAGGUGAGGUAACGGCUCACCUAGGCGACGAUACAUAGCCGACCUGAGAGGGUGAUCGGCCACACUGGGACUGAGACACGGCCCAGACUCCUACGGGAGGCAGCAGUAGGGAAUCUUCGGCAAUGGACGAAAGUCUGACCGAGCAACGCCGCGUGAGUGAAGAAGGUUGUCGGAUCGUAAAGCUCUGUUGUAAGAGAAGAACGGGUGUGAGAGUGGAAAGUUCACACUGUGACGGUAUCUUACCAGAAAGGGACGGCUAACUACGUG
rnacentral:rRNA from 1 species